rnacentral:sRNA from 1 species
GAAAUGAACGAAACUUAUGCGCUCAGAAGACAUUUCUUUGUGUUGGUUAUUCCCUCCGAAUAUCUGUCCAACAUAUGCAGUACUUCGGUGAAAAUCUUGGCCAUUGUGUGCAGGAUCAGCUUACUCAUUAACUGAAAUUAAGAUUUUUCCUCAUGUUUCGAGUCUUUCGUGAGGAAAUUAAAAAAAAAGUGAUAUCAAAUACCGAAUUCCCUCUCUUAGUCAUGAGAGGUUAAAUAUGGACGGGGUGUACCAAACAUUUAAAACACUGCGAACGGUAAACCAAUGCCUAUUCACAUCCAUUCUUUAUAUUCAGGUGAAUACAAUUAAAGUGACGAUUUUGAGGAAGAAAAAAAUUUAGGCGAAAGAUUUUUCCAAUAUCGGAGGCUGAGUCAUGAAACAGCUCCGUCCUCCAUUGAUUUUUCACCUUUUUCUGCAGUAGGAAGCAUGCUUUCGUCUAUUUGCAGAGGCUUAUGUAACCCAAGCAGGUUUUUUUACGACAUGGACAGGUCGGGAAACCUCGUGGAAACAACUCCAUGUCGCGAUGAAAUUAACGCGAUGGUUACGUUGUUGCUAUGGAAUACACAUCGCACGAUGCAAACUGAAGCUCCAUUGUGUGGAUGUUUUGUGAAAGCUUUGAUAUCACAUGUCUUUUUAGUUUCCAAACUAUGCUUUAAUAUUCAUACUUUUCUUUUUUUGUUUUGGUUUUUAUUCAUCGAUAUAUAUGAAUUUGAUACUUGUUAUUGAUUGCUAUAUUUUCUAUACUUUGUAUACAAUUGUAUAUGUUUCAAUUUGCAUUGCAGUUUAUGUUGUACUAAUUCAUUGUGAUUUACAAAAGAAUUCCAAAUGAUCUCAAACUCGGCAAUACCGGUAAAAUUAUAUAAAUCCAGGACGCUGAAUAGAUAGCUAUGUAGAAACUUUUCAUUCUAUUUUUGUAGACUGGAGAAAAAUGAAAAAAAAAAGAUGCGUAUAUUUUGAUUUAAUAAUUCGUACUAUGCAUUCGCCAUGUCUUAAUUUUAAAAGAAAAUCACGCUGUGUUGUGUGCCAUACUGCAAAAUAUGUAGAAAUUGUUGCUAUCGCUGUUUAUUGAUAUACAAUUAUACAGCAUUGUAAAUCUUUGCAAAUUCAACUUGCAUGAACAUUUCAUGUUUAAACACUUUUUUGAUUUCUGAUGAAAAAUAAUGUCUCAGUAUGAGUAGUAAUCGGUUGAUGUGACGCACCCCUGAGCAAUGUCAUGACAUCACAUUCGCCCCGCCCUGUGAGGCAUCUUGUGUUAGUGAAAUGAUUGUACCCAUGUCCCUUGUCAAUCAAAUUCUUGUGUUACCAAAGUAUGAUCGUUACGAUUAACAAGUUUAUGUACUUGAAAUAUUGAAUAGUUUUAUUAAGCACUUUGUUAGAUUAUUCAUAAAAAUCGAAUGACGCACACAAUAAUAUAUUUUGAUCUCAUACCCUUCCACCCUCACCCCAAUUCCUCCAUCGAUUCCACCUGAACCCCCCCCCCCCCCUCCCCGACCUCCCCACCCCUAGUCCUGACAUGUCGUGAUGCAAGCAAACAGGGUCCAUGACAGACAGUAUUUUAUCAGAAGACUUUUUUAUCAUUUACAAAGAUUUUAACGUUUUAUUGUAUUUAUAUUUGAGUUGGUUAAUCAAUAAAAUGACAUAAUAAAACAAUUU